UGCUACUAUGGUUCUAUUAAACUAAUCAUUGCUAUUAAAUAUCAUCCAAAUUUAAUAAAAUGUAUAUCCUUGACUUACUGACUGACCUAAAUAUACUUGUACAGUAAGUUACACCCACAGUUAUAAUACUUGUACAAUGUUACACGAGAUUUCACAAAUCAUUUGUGUGUGUUGGUGUUAUGUACUCAGGUGAAUAUGAUGUUUGUGAUGUUACUCUGAGUGUGCAUCCACACCGGGCAAGCUGAAAAGUUUGCUUGGCCACGGUGGGAAUCGAACCCGCGACCUUUGGGAUACUAGUCCAAUGCUCUGCCAACUGAGCUACGCGGUCAAGUCGGUUCGAGUUGAUGAUAUUUCGGAACUGAGUCUAGUUCCUUC
rnacentral:tRNA from 1 species